rnacentral:rRNA from 1 species
CAAUAGCGUAUAUUAAAAUUGUUGCAGUUAAAACGUUCGUAGUUGUAUUUCUGUCAUCUGUCGUAAUGGUCCGCUCACGCGUGCACCGUUCGUCAAUGACAUCCGUUUGCACAAUUCGUUGCGCAAACCGUUCACUUUGAGGAAAUUAGAGUGUUCAAAGCAGGCUUAGCCUUGAAUACUUCAGCAUGGAAUGAUCGAUAGGACUUCCGUUCUAUCAGUUGGUUCAGGGGCGUGAAGUAAUGAUAAAUAGGGUCGGUCGGGGACAUUCCUACUGAGCAGUCAGGGGUGAAAUCCUGUAAUUUGUUCAUGAGGUGCUACUGCGAAAGCAUUUGUCAAGGACGACCNCAUUA